UGAGAAUAAUGCCUUUGGGAUGAAAUUU
rnacentral:piRNA from 1 species